GCCAUAGCUCAGUGGUAGAGCAUCUGCUUUACUUGCAGAAGGUCCCAGGUUCAAGUUAGGGCAGGCA